rnacentral:rRNA from 1 species
GUGCCAGCAGCCGCGGUAAUACGGUAGGGUGCAAGCGUUAAUCGGAAUUACUGGGCGUAAAGCGUACGCAGGUGGUUAAUUAAGUCAGAUGUGAAAUCCCUAAGCUUAACUUAGGAACUGCAUUUGAAACUGAUUAGCUAGAGUUUUGUAGAGGGGGGUAGAAUUCCAGGUGUAGCGGUGAAAUGCGUAGAGAUCUGGAGGAAUACCAGUGGCGAAGGCGACCCCCUGGACAAAAACUGACGCUGAGGUGCGAACGCGUGGGGAGCAAACAGGAUUAGAUACCCUGGUAGUCCAUGCUGUAAACGAUGUCAAUUUGAAGGUUGUAGCCUUGAGUUAUAGCUUUCGUAGCUAACGCGUUAAAUUGACCGCCUGGGGAGUACGGCCGCAAGGUUAAAACUCAAAUGAAUUGACGGGGGCCCGCACAAGCGGUGGAGCAUGUGGUUUAAUUCGAUGCAACGCGAAAAACCUUACCUAUUCUUGACAUCCAAAGAAUAAAACAGAAAUGUUUUAGUGCCUUAGGGAACUUUGAGACAGGUGCUGCAUGGCUGUCGUCAGCUCGUGUUGUGAAAUGUUGGGUUAAGUCCCGCAACGAGCGCAACCCCUAUCCUUUGUUGCCAUCGAGUAAAGUCGGGAACUCAAAGGAGACUGCUGGUGAUAAACCGGAGCAGGUGGGGACGACGUCAAGUCAUCAUGGCCCUUACGAAUAGGGCUACACACGUGCUACAAUGGCAUAUACAAAGAGAAGCGAUCUUGCAAAAGCUAGCAAAUCUCAUAAAGUAUGUCGUAGUUCGGAUUGGAGUCUGCAACUCGACUCCAUGAAGUCGGAAUUCGCUAGUAAUCGUAGAUCAGAAUGCUACGGUGAAUACCG